UGGCUCUCGCAUCGAUGAAGAACGCAGCGAAAUGCGAUAAGUAAUGUGAAUUGCAGAAUUCAGUGAAUCAUCGAAUCUUUGAACGCACCUUGCGCUCCUUGGUAUUCCGAGGAGCAUGCCUGUUUGAGUGUCAUGUAUUUCUCAGCUCAUUUGGAUUUUUCUGAAUGAAGCUGGAUGUGGAGGCUGCUGGCUUUUUAAUUAAUGUCUGCUCCUCUUAAAUCCAUUAGUGUGAAUAUUAUCGAAUGUUCCCCAGUGUAAUAAUUUAUUUGCGCUGUUGGUUCUUUGGUAAAACCAUGUUCAUGCUUCUAAUCGUCCAUUAGGACCACAUUGUAUUAAAGGGGAAAAACACUCAGGUAGGACUACCCGCUGA
rnacentral:misc_RNA from 1 species